UACGAAGGGUGCAAACGUUGCUCGGAAUUAUUGGGCGUAAAGCGCACGUAGGCGGCUUUGCAAGUCGGAUGUGAAAGCCCUUGGCUUAACCGAGGAAGUGCAUCCGAAACUGGCGAGCUAGAGUACGAAAGAGGAUCGCGGAAUUCCCGGUGUAGAGGUGAAAUUCGUAGAUAUCGGGAGGAACACCGGUGGCGAAGGCGGCGAUCUGGGUCGAUACUGACGCUGAGGUGCGAAAGCGUGGGGAGCAAACAGG
rnacentral:rRNA from 1 species